CUCUGAAAACUGAGAAAUAAGUAAAAUAUAGAAUCUAUUAUUAUUUUAUUUUAUUUUAUUUGCUAAGAAACUGUAGAUAAAGUUGAAGUUUUAAAUUAAAAAUAUGAAACGACAAUAUAGUAAAUGAAACAAUAGACACACACUGAAGUUUUAAAUUAAAAAUAUGAAACGACAUUAUAGUAAAUGAAACAAUAGACACACACGCUAUGCUACUAUCUCUCUUUCACACACAGACACACACAUUGCGUUUAUGAGUUAAAAAAAAGAAACAGGUAGACUUUAAGCCUGUUCAAGGGGACUGACGGCGGGAUUGCGACAGCAACGGCGAGAAACCGACGCCGGAUGGUAAUGGACAUACAUGAAUACAUGAACUAAUGGAUAUGCAUGAAUACAUCGAAUUUGAACAGUACCAUAAAGUGAGUUAAUAAUCCAACUAUAUCAAAAUCCAAGAGGUUCAGAAAACUAAAACAUUGUAUUAUAUCAUUAUACUCAUUCGAUCAAUUCCAAAAGAAUCUAAUGCAAAUCACUGGAAUACAAUAUCACAUAAAAUUGGAAUACUCUAUCAUGUUUUGUUAUGUCACUACAGAUUAAUAAUCAAACCUCCCUUUUGAAUUCUCACUCACUUGCAAUUGUAGCUGAACGGAAGCCAAAAGUAAUUGAUUUGAGUGCUGCAAUAUGCAGAAAUACAGAGAGAAAAUAGGCUAUAAAUCACAAACGAACCUGUAAGGCAGUUAUUAAAGGAUUUCUACUCUCACCACAUAUAAGAUCACAUUUUUUUACUGGCAAAUGAUUGAAAACAUCAGUUAUUAAAAUACUAUAAAUAAGCAGCUACCACAAACGGACCUGUAAGGCAGAACGCAUAAGCUCGUCAACAUAAUCAAUAGUAGCACAUAAGUUACCAACUCCAGAUCACAAAUCAUAUUCCUCAGAAUCCUUUGGGCAGGCUCAGCAAAUAAAAAUAUAGCUCAGAAAGAUGGAACUGGAACUGGAAAUAGAAAUAGAAUCAUACCGUCAGCAGAUGGUUGAGAGGCACUUUGAAUUCCUUGAUGGCGAAUUUCAGAACUAAAAUAUAGAGAAAGAAAAAGAAUUAAACCAGUAACAAUUACAAUAAAGCUUAAAACUGAUUCUUGACAUAUGUGUAAAGAAUAGAAGAAAAGUAUAACAUUGUGAUAAAAGCAACAAUGCCUGCAAGAUUUCAAACAACAGUGAUAAAAUACCUCAAAGAAUUUCAUUACUUUU
rnacentral:lncRNA from 1 species